CCGCCCGUGAGCGGAAGUGGAGAGGCUCGCGGGGCGCACUGACGUCACGUCUCCGCAUUUCCGCCACACGCCCUGACACCUGCCGGGACACGCGAGUCGGGCGGGGAGGCUGGCAGUGGCUCGCUGGCGUCACGCCCUCCUUGGCUCGCGCUGCGCGCUUUCGUCACGGCUCACGCGGUUCCCGUCCCCAAGGGCCCAGGAAGCUGCUUUGCGCGAGGGCCGGCGGGCGGGGGAUCGUUUGGGCUUGCGUGACGUCACCGCGCUGCGGCCUCCGCGAGGGCACGUACCUGGCCGGGGAGGGGAGGAAGCGGAGGCCGCUCCUCUGCGGUGGCGCUGGGGCUGCUGGCGGUCAGGGCGGUGGAGGCGCUGCCUGCGGACGGCUGGUGGAAGAGCGUCCGCGGGGCCGUGCGCGCGCUGCCGUACCCACUGCCCCUUCACCCUGCACCCCAGUCCACCCGUUAAAGGGUAAUUAAAACGGUAGAGCAGACAGAGGUAAUUGUAUGCAUGUAUUUAAGGAGCUGCCCUAUAGGGUCGCUGGGUUGGGUGUCACUGAAAGGUGGGCGGUUGGAACCCCCGGCUGCUCUGCGGGAGAAGGAUGUGGCAGCUGCCCUCCUAAAGAUCGACAGCCGUGGAGACGCUACGGGCCAGGCCUGCGCUGUCCUGUAGGGUCGCUGUCGGUUGGAACGGACUGGAUUGGCCUUUUUCUUUUUGCGUAUGUACAAAUAUACAAAAUGAACACGUGAAAAAGCGUUAUUUAACUCAUUAAUUCAUGAAAGAACCAGUAAACCUUUACAACAGGUCCAAAAUAUCUUUAGAACUACAUAAAUAGUAAACUGUUCUGAAUGAAUUUACACCGCUUCAUCCAGUGCACUCUUUUAAGUGGCCACUCAGUUAUCCCAUUUUAUGUUUUAAAUUUCUGAAGAGUCAUUAUUACUUUGAUACAUGGUUUACUCAUUUGUUUGCUGUCUGUCUCCCCCAGUCCCAAGUUAAAAUGCAAGUACAGUAAAACCUGGGAAAGCCGAAACCUGUGUAAGGCAGAAAACUGUCAGAGAAGGAAAAUGUAAGUGUUCUCUGCUAAAACGAGUGGUAGAAAAGUGGUAAGACUACGUCCUGUCAGAGGUGGAAAACUUUAGAGAUCUGGAGCAACGAGGCAGUCCUGUCAGUUCUGGUUCUCACAGGUUUCACUGUAUGUAAAUUUGAUAAGGGGAGCCCUGAUCAACCAGCCCUUUAUCCCUAACUUGUAGAAUACUUAAUGAGUUCAGUGUGAUUUUCAUUCCCUAAUUGGGGCUUUAUCAUUUAAAUUUUUGAUUGUCAUAACACAAAGUCUAAUUAUAUAUAAAAUGUUUCAUGAGGUGUGUUUACAAAGUAUAUUAGCUUAUUUUUAUGGAAAAUACUUUGGAUUAGGGAAAAUGGUGUAGAAAAUAUUUUCUGUGCAUAAUAGCCUAUUAUCAAAGAUUUUCUUUCCAAGAGUGCCAGCAGUUUUUUUUUUUUUUUUUUAAUUAGGUCGUUACCUGAAAAAGAACUUUGGGUUCAUAAUUGAAUCUAAGAUUCUUAUAAAGAAACUUUUUAAAACUCAUUUAUUUAGCAGACAUUUCUUUUGUUCUGGGCUGGCUCUAUGUCAUGCUAGAGAAUUUAAGAUAAGAUCUAGUGGAGGUGACAUUUGAGUUUGGUCUUUCAAUAUAAGUAGAGGUUAGCCAGGUGAGAUGGAGAGAAACUGGCACUUUGGGCAGAGGUGUAAGUUCAUGUCAGGUUCUGGAGACAGAGUAGUUCUGAGUGUCCGAAAUGUAAGGUGUGUAGAUAAGAUGGGAAGAUAAAAAGGAGUCAAAUAACCAAGGGCCAUAAAGUUGAGGAGUUUUGGUUUUAUUUCAUGUGGGAACCCAACAGAGAUUUUGAACUGGAUUGUGACUGAGUGUCUUUAAACACUCUUGUUAUUUUAAUGGAUAAGAUCUUGAUUGUCGGACAUCAGAUAUAUAAGUAGACCAAAAUAAAUCCCACAUACCUAAUCAAAAUCGGUAGGUGUCAGCUACCAGUAGGUGGUUAUGAAUAAAAAGAGUUUCUAGUAGAUCGUGGGAGAUAUUAAGAAAGAUUCAUUUGUUUAUUCUUCAGCAGUUACUUAUAGGCACCAACCAUGAAUCAAGCACAUGGAGGGACCUCCAAGUGAUUUUCAGUGUAUCAGAAGACCCAACAGGAAACUACAUUUCCCCUCAACAAGUCUGAGUAGGGUUAUUAAAAUUUCAUGUUUAUCUGCUUUGGUUUGGAAUUCUAGGAACUCAUUGUGAGAUAGAUUGAUACAGUGGCUGCAGUAAUGGGCUCAAGCAUGACAAUGAUUGUGAGGAUGGCACAGGCCCUGGCAGUGUUUUGUUCUGUUGUACAUAGGGUCGCUAUGAGUCUGAACCAACUCAACGGCAUCUAACAACAACUGUGAGACCACUCAUCAUCCCAGGCUGAUCAGAGGCUCCGUUGGACUAUUUGCUAUGGACAAAAAAUUGAGUAUCCUGACUUAACAGGAAAGUUUUUCUUACAUAUAUUAUUUCUUACAUAUAUUUUGCAUUAAAGGAGAAUAAGGUAAAUGAUCUACAUGGUAAAAUUUAAGGCAUGUUUGUCAUAGGAAAACUUGACAAAGUAACGGUGAGAAAGGAUGGAGGAAGAAAGAAAAAGAGAAUGAUAAUGAAUCUUCAGUAAAGUUAAAAAAAUACCCCUUCAGCCAAAUUUUGGCCAGAGAUAGACUGCCUCUAGCGCCACGUACGAGUCAAUGACCUUAUUCUUAAGUAAUUCCUACUCAGUAUGAGGAUCAAUCCUUGGGGAAGGAGGAAGGAAAGUCUUCAGCACUUUCCCGUGGAUACCAUUUCUCAUCUCUUCUACUAUCUUCCAGAUAUUUCCUCUUCAAAAACAUCCUACUGCAAGCCUUGUCCGUUGGAUGCCUUAAUUGUGUGUGGGGACUAUAUAGAGAGGUAAUAUGAAGAAUAAAAAAGAAAGAAGAAAACAGACAAAGGGGGAUCCCAAGAAACAAGAGCCAGGAGAACAGCGUAUCCUUUGGACCUGGGGUCCCUGCACUGAGAAGCUCCUCGACUGGUGAAGAUGGAUGACAAGGACCUUCCCCCAGAGCAGCAGAGAGAGAAAGCCUUCCCCUGAAGCUGGCACCCUGAAUUUGGACUUCUGUCCCCCUAGACUGAGAGAGAAUAAAAUUCUGUUUGUUGAA